rnacentral:misc_RNA from 1 species
UUGAAACAUUGUGAAGGAGGUUGAGCUGGCAGCCCCGGUUGCAUGUGCUCACCUUCUUUCAAUCUUCAUCCACCUGUGCACAUUUUGUAGGGGAACUUGGAAAGGCUGUAACAGGCCAAGUACGAGUUUCUCUAUGUCUUUACACACUCUAAUGUAUGUCUAUGAAUGUUUUAUUAUUGGGACUUUAUUGGCCCUUUAAAAAGUUAUA